CAAAACCACAACUCCUCCGUUCUCCUGUGUUCUUCCUCCUCUUUCUUUCUUUCUUUUCUUUCUUUCUUUUUUUUUCCGGAGCUAGGGACCGAACCCAGGGCCUUGCACUUGCUAGGCAAGCGCUCUGCCACUGAGCUAAAUCCCCAACCCCCCUCCUCUUUCUUUAUUAGGUUGAGAAUUGAACUCCUGCCUUGUGCAUGCUGAGAAACCAUUCCUUUUGAAGAAAGAAAAAUGAAGGGGGGAAAAAAGAGGAGAAUGUAUGGUGAGUUAUAGCUUUUGGUAAAACAAAGUAAAAAUGUCUUACUUUUAAUUAUGUUUAGUUAUAAAUUUAAAAACAGUGGCUCCUGAACCUGGAGAAACGAAACAGAAGCCAGGAAGAUGGAAACAGUGAAAACUUCAUGGCAAUGGCAGAUUACUUCAGUUUGAACUCCGUGUUUUAGGAUAGCAGGAUUCAACUCAGUCGUAAACACCAACACAGCAGCACAAUCCAACAAAAACAGCAAGGCGAACACGAAUCAGCGGAAGCGGCCAGAAACAGCCAGAAAACCACGAGAAGUUCUCCCGUGCAUUUCUCUCUACAAAGUGAAGACCAGUGGAGACCAGCAAAGUGUUGCACAGUGGCCUAGCAAUGCAAAAUCCUCCUCUCACUGUCUGUGGGGUUCCAUUUAUAUUCUUUCUAAAUACCCUGUGCUCUCUCAAGUGUCUGUUUUCAGGGAAACAUCACACGCCCUCUCACAAGACAGCUUCCAGAGAAGCAUCACAUGACACAACUGAGUUGUUUAAGAAACAAAAUAUUGGGUUGGGGAUUUAGCUCAGUGGUAGAGUGCUUGCCUAGCUAGCGCAAGGCCCUGGGUUCGGUCCCCAGCUCCGAAAAAAAGAAAAGAAAAAAACAAAAAACAAAAAACAAAAUAUUCCUUUCAAUACCGUGUCCAAUCUUCCUUAGCUCAAAAUGGUCAGUAUGCCAAGGAGGUACUAAACUUGGGGUAAUGUGCUGUACAUGUUCUAAGUCCCAGCAAGGACAAUGAACCUUCUCAGGCAUCUGGGAAAUAGAAAUGGAAAUGAGUUAUCAUCUUCAACCAGUAUUAUAUUUAAAAGUUAAACUUUGGGUAUAUGGUAGAGCCACACGAUAUGGCUCCUCAAACACGGCACUUUGGCAUCGAGAUGAUUCUGAGCAGAGCAGGAUUGAGGAAACGUGACCAUAAGGAUAUUACUUGCCUAAAAGCAGGACAUGAACUUGGCAAGCUGCUCCUCUUCUGUGUUCUACCAGGAAGGACAGAAGGUGAUCUCUGGAGACGACCCAAGACAUUUCUCGGGCACCAGAGCAAGCUGUGCAGUAAAAUGGACUAACCAGACGCUAUCCGUCGUUAGCUUGCUCCUAAUAUUAUCUUCAACCAACUUUAGCCCUAGAAACGCAGCCCUUUUCUUUUGUCAUGCCAUUCUCAAAAAACAUUUUUGAGUUUUUUGUUUUGUUUUGUUUUUGUUGGGAUGCUCCACAAACUUCUCUAAGUUACUCCUGGAUGAUGGCCCCUCUGUAUGUGUACGAGUGCGUGCUUUACUCUUGGUAAUCUGUCUUUUCUUACUUGAACUGCAGGGUCCCAACUGGACAGCCUUGCCUGAUUCCCCUACUACAAUACUAAGUACUAGUCUGGGUGUGAGGAAUUGCAUGCGUUGUUGGUGUGUAUAUGAAUUUCAUGAUGUUAUGUUACGAAUGAAUUAUUAAAAUGAUAAGUUAUAAAGGUAACACAAAAUUAAAAUAUAAAUGCCUUUAACAAAGCAAUUGUAUUUUGAGCACUUAUCCGACAGAGUAUAUUUACAAAGAAAUGUAUUCGUUGAAGAAUACUUAUUGUGACAAUUUUACUAUUUACAAAACUAGAGGAAAGGAAGAUUUCUCAAUAAACUGAUAAUUGUUUUUUUUUUAAACUACAGAAUUUGAGAUCAUGAACUGCUAUGGGGUUAAAAAGAGUAAGGAGGUAUAUCUCAUAUGUUCUCUUUGGUAUACCUCAAUAUGCCUAAGAUAAUAAAAAGAAAGUUAUAAUAUAUAAUAUAUUUUAAAAUGUAGUAAUAUAUGCAUGAAUGAUUAAGUGAAGGAAGAAGCAUGAUCAGAUUCAUUUGAAGUUGACAGAGAGACUAAUAGAGACAGUGUGCUUAGCCUUCAUUUGAGGAGUGCAUGGAGGGAGAAACGUAUUUUACUUCCUGAGUGUUUCUCGUUUUUUAGAAAUGUUUCUGCAAUUCAAUUGCAUUUGAAUAUUAU
ensembl:lncRNA